GGAAGCUGCUGCUGUUACUGAGGGCCUCAAAUCCCAGCCUUAGCAAUACAGAACACAGAAAACGAAGCAGAAUUCACAGAUAUUGUGCAUAAGUUUUAGAGAUGAGCACAUUGGACGCAACCAGAGCAGAACUUGCACUUGUUGUUCUGUAUCUGAAUAAGGCUGAAGCCAGAGACAAGAUAUGCAGAGCUAUACAAUAUGGCUCUAAAUUCUUGAGCAAUGGAGAACCUGGAACAGCACAGAACGUUGAUAGAUCCACUGCCUUAGCACGCAAAGUCUUUCGUCUUUUCAAGUUUGUCAAUGAUCUGCAUGGACUAAUCAGCCCUACUGCCCAAGGAACACCUCUACCCCUUGUUCUUUUAGGGAAGUCCAAGAAUGCUUUGUUAUCGACUUUUCUAUUCCUCGAUCAAAUUG
rnacentral:misc_RNA from 1 species